rnacentral:rRNA from 1 species
AACUUCCGUURAUUGAUYAKGASGUGCUUGCACUGAAUGAGAUUUUAACACGAAGUGAGUGGCGGACGGGUGAGUAACACGUGGGUAACCUGCCCAGAAGCRGGGGAUAACACCUGGAAACAGAUGCUAAUACCGUAUAACAGAGAAAACCGCCUGGUUUUCUUUUAAAAGAUGGCUCUGCUAUCACUUCUGGAUGGACCCGCGGCGCAUUAGCUAGUUGGUGAGGUAACGGCUCACCAAGGCGAUGAUGCGUAGCCGACCUGAGAGGGUAAUCGGCCACAUUGGGACUGAGACACGGCCCAGACUCCUACGGGAGGCAGCAGUAGGGAAUCUUCCACAAUGGACGCAAGUCUGAUGGAGCAACGCCGCGUGAGUGAAGAAGGGUUUCGGCUCGUAAAGCUCUGUUGUUAAAGAAGAACGUGGGUGAGAGUAACUGUUCACCCAGUGACGGUAUUUAACCAGAAAGCCACGGCUAACUACGUGCCAGCAGCCGCGGUAAUACGUAGGUGGCAAGCGUUAUCCGGAUUUAUUGGGCGUAAAGCGAGCGCAGGCGGUCUUUUAAGUCUAAUGUGAAAGCCUUCGGCUCAACCGAAGAAGUGCAUUGGAAACUGGGAGACUUGAGUGCAGAAGAGGACAGUGGAACUCCAUGUGUAGCGGUGAAAUGCGUAGAUAUAUGGAAGAACACCAGUGGCGAAGGCGGCUGUCUGGUCUGUAACUGACGCUGAGGCUCGAAAGCAUGGGUAGCGAACAGGAUUAGAUACCCUGGUAGUCCAUGCCGUAAACGAUGAUUACUAAGUGUUGGAGGGUUUCCGCCCUUCAGUGCUGCAGCUAACGCAUUAAGUAAUCCGCCUGGGGAGUACGACCGCAAGGUUGAAACUCAAAAG